UUCGCAAUGCCCGAAAGGGUGACGAAGCGACGCCGCGUGCGGGAUGAAGGUCUUCGGAUUGUAAACCGCUUUUGUUCGGGAAGAAGGUCUGGUUCGUGAAAUCAGGCUUGACGGUACCGGACGAAUAAGCCCCGGCUAACUCCGCGCCAGCAGCCGCGGUAAGACGGAGGGGGCAAGCGUUGUUCGGAAUUAUUGGGCGUAAAGAGCACGUAGGCGGCUCUGCAAGUCAGUUGUGAAAGCCUUCCGCUCAAAGGAAGAACAGCAUCUGAUACUACAGGGCUUGAGUGCGGGAGGGGAGAGUGGAACUUCUGGUGGAGCGGUGAAAUGCGUAGAUAUCAGAAGGAACGCCGGCGGCGAAAGCGACUCUCUGGUCCGUAACUGACGCUGAGUGUGCGAAAGCUAGGGGAGCAAACGGGAUUAGAUACCCCGGUAGUCCUAGCCGUAAACGAUGGGCACUAAGUAGAGGGGUUUU
rnacentral:rRNA from 1 species